ACGGAGGGUGCAAGCGUUAUUCGGAAUUACUGGGCGUAAAGCGCGUGUAGGCGGUCCUGCAAGUCUGAUGUGAAAGCCCCGGGCUUAACCCCGUAAAGGCUUUGGAAACUGUGGGCCUUGAGGACAGGAGAGGAAGGGGGAAUUCCAGGUGUAGAGGUGAAAUGCGUAGAGAUCGGGAGGAAUACCAGUGGCGAAGGCGACUAUCUGGACGGUAACUGACGCUGAGGCGCGAAAGCGUGGGGAGCAAACAG
rnacentral:rRNA from 1 species